rnacentral:rRNA from 1 species
CAGUCGCCGCGGUAAUACGAAGGGUGCAAGCGUUACUCGGAAUUACUGGGCGUAAAGCGUGCGUAGGUGGUGGUUUAAGUCCGUUGUGAAAGCCCUGGGCUCAACCUGGGAAUUGCAGUGGAUACUGGAUCACUAGAGUGUGGUAGAGGAUAGUGGAAUUUCCGGUGUAGCAGUGAAAUGCGUAGAGAUCGGAAAGAACACCAACGGCGAAAGCACUCUGCUGGGCCGACACUGACACUGAGAGACGAAAGCUAGGGGAGCAAAUGGGAUUAGAUACCCCCGUAGUCCCUGUCUCUUAUAC